rnacentral:misc_RNA from 1 species
AGAAUUCAGUGCAUUCCAACAUGGCGUACUUAUUGAUAUUGUCACUGCUUUCUCUUUGUGUUUUUUGGAGUCCUGUUAAGGCAUACCAAGGUGAUGGUCGCGUGGACAAGAUGGAGGAUCGCUUUAGAACGAUGGAGAGGAAACUUUACCAAUACAUGGAGGAACUUGACCGCCUUAAAACAAUGGAAAGGAAACUCAAUCAAUACAUGGACGAACAUGGUCACCUCUUACAACAGAAUCGAGACCUACAGAGACAGGUCUCUGAGACUGAGAAAAGGAAUGACGAGUUAACAAUCAAGAUAAGUUCUAUUGAGGAAAAAGUCAAAGAGAUUCAGCAGAGCAAUGACAAAUGUCAGAUGGACAUAAAACAGAUAUCUAAAAUUAUUAAGGAUAAUUCUGGUAGUUCCAGUUUGAAUAAUGAUCAAGUAAAUGGAUCAACCACACCCAAUAGGAACGAAGUAAAAUCGUACUCAUUGCAAACUCAUAUCCGAAAAAGAAUUGGUACUAAUAUAGUUUUUAAUUAGUAUAUUAUAAUGAUCAAUGAUAUGAACAUUUAAUAUACAUGUAAGAGGAUUUUUACAUUUUUACGACACUUAACUCAUGAAUUUAUCCUUUUUACUUAGUUCCAGCAACGGGUGGUCCCACCGAGCAAGUAGCUUUCUACGCCUAUAUGUCUACAAACACGCCACCAAAUCUUCGGCAACAUCACACACUGAUAUAUGACGUGGUUAAAGUCAACAGAGGUCAAGGUUAUCACCAGGACGACGGUAUCUUUACUGUCCCAAGUUCGGGUGUCUAUGUGUUUGCGUGGACUGUGGCUAUUCAAACUCACGGAUGGGCGAGUGUGGAAAUAGUAGUCAACGGGGUAGUUUUCGGGUCCACAUUUGCAGAUGGUACUGCUAGUGACUGGGAGCACGGUUCUGGGAUCGUCGUGGUCGAGACGCACACUGGAGACCACGUCUACGUACGCAUGCAAGAAAACGGGAAUGGAGUAGUUAACAGCAAUGCAAGGGGAAGAACGUCCUUUUCGGGAUGGAAACUGUUCUAAUAUGAUGUAAACUAAGAAAUAUAUAUGGUUUAUUAAACACAC